AUUGAACGCUGGCGGCAGGCCUAACACAUGCAAGUCGAGCGGAUGAAGGGAGCUUGCUCCUGGAUUCAGCGGCGGACGGGUGAGUAAUGCCUAGGAAUCUGCCUGGUAGUGGGGGAUAACGUCCGGAAACGGGCGCUAAUACCGCAUACGUCCUGAGGGAGAAAGUGGGGGAUCUUCGGACCUCACGCUAUCAGAUGAGCCUAGGUCGGAUUAGCUAGUUGGUGGGGUAAAGGCCUACCAAGGCGACGAUCCGUAACUGGUCUGAGAGGAUGAUCAGUCAAAACGUAACAGAGCAAGCGGCGCGACGCAGGGGGGAGGCAGGGGAGGAGAGUAGGGGACAAGGAGCGAAAGACUGGCCCCGCAGAGGCGUGUGUGGGAGGAAGGUCGUGUGUUUGUAACGAACUUAAAGUGGGGAGGAAAGGAAGUAAUCUUAUCCCUUGCUGUUUUAACGUUACAAAAAGAAGAAGCACCGUAUAACUUCGUGCCAGCAGCUGCGUAAUACUCGGAGGAGCACACGUCUGAAC
rnacentral:rRNA from 1 species